rnacentral:rRNA from 1 species
UACGUAGGUGGCAAGCGUUGUCCGGAAUUAUUGGGCGUAAAGCGCGCGCAGGCGGCCUUUUAAGUCUGAUGUGAAAGCCCACGGCUCAACCGUGGAAGGUCAUUGGAAACUGAAAGGCUUGAGUACAGAAGAGGAAAGCGGAAUUCCACGUGUAGCGGUGAAAUGCAUAGAGAUGUGGAGGAACACCAGUGGCGAAGGCGGCUUUCUGGUCUGUAACUGACGCUGAGGCGCGAAAGCGUGGGGAGCAAACGGG